AUUGAACGCUGGCGGCAUGCCUUACACAUGCAAGUCGAACGGUAACGGGCCUUCGGGUGCCGACGAGUGGCGCACGGGGGAGUAAUACAUCGGAACGUGCCCGAUCGUGGGGGGUAACGAGGCGAAAGCUUUGCUAAUAUCGCACACGAUCUACGGAUGAAAGCAGGGGGCCGCAAGGCCCUGCGCGGACGGAGCGGCCGAUGGCAGAUUAGGUAGUUGGUGGGGUAAAAGCUUACCAAGCCGACGAUCUGUAGCUGGUCUGAGAGGAUGAUCAGCCACACUGGGACUGAGACACGGCCCAGACUCCUACGGGAGGCAGCAGUGGGGAAUUUUGGACAAUGGGCGCAAGCCUGAUCCAGCCAUGCCGCGUGCAGGAUGAAGGCCUUCGGGUUGUAAACUGCUUUUGUACGGAACGAAAAGCCUUCUUUUAAUACAGGAGGGUCAUGACGGUACCGUAAGAAUAAGCACCGGCUAACUACGUG
rnacentral:rRNA from 1 species